GGGGGAGACAGAGAGAAAAAGAAGACAGGGUGGUGGAUACAUCUGGAGAGGUGGGGGAAGGGCUGGAACACGGCAGGUGUUGUUGCCAGUGAGAAGGCAGGGUGGUGGAUACAUCUGGAGAGGAGGGGGAAGGGCUGGAACACGGCAGGUGUUGUUGCCAGUGAGAAGGCAGGGUGGUGGAUACACCUGGAGAGGUGGGGGAAGGGCUGGGACACGGCAGGUGUUGUUGCCAGUGAGAAGGCAGGGUGGUGGAUACAUCUGGAGUGGAGGGGGAAGGCUGGGACUCAUGGCAGGUGUUGUUGCCAGUGAGAAGGCAGGGUGGUGGAUACAUCUGGAGUGGAAGGGGAAGGGCUGGGGUUGGAGCCACAGUGGAUGGUUGUUGGAUGCAGGUGAGAGUGUUGUGAGAACAGGUUUCUU